UACGUAGGGGGCAAGCGUUGUCCGGAUUUAUUGGGCGUAAAGAGCGUGUAGGCGGCCUGAAAGGUCAGCUGUGAAAACUCGAGGCUCAACCUCGAGACGUCGGUUGAAACCAUCUGGCUAGAGUCCGGAAGAGGAGAGUGGAAUUCCCGGUGUAGCGGUGAAAUGCGCAGAUAUCGGGAAGAACACCCGUGGCGAAGGCGGCGCUCUGGGACGGUACGGACGCUGAGACGCGAAAGCGUGGGGAGCGAACAGG
rnacentral:rRNA from 1 species